rnacentral:misc_RNA from 1 species
AAAGUCGUAACAAGGUUUCCGUAGGUGAACCUGCGGAAGGAUCAUUAAAAGUUAGCGUCCGAGUGCGGCCUUUACGGCCAAACUUGUGACUGCAAAACCAUGUGUUGUUGAACUGUGUAUUGCUGGCGGGAGAUAAAGGUGGAUCCCUUGAGGUCGUGCCUUUGGCGUGGUUGGACGACGGAACGGUCGUCUAUCGCGCAGCCCGCCGGCCGUAUUAAACAAAGACUAAAUAUUUUGACUGAUAUAAAUACAUUGAUAGCCGCGUCUUGCUCGCAAGAUAAGGCACUAAUCGAUACAACUGUUAGCCACGGAUCACUCGGUUCUC